AGGGAAGGCCGAGCUCUGCUACCUGACCGGUAUCUCUCUCAAGGACAGGCAAAUUCUGGGAGCUCAGGGUGGAGUUGCCCUUUAUAAGGCUAGGAGGGGAGGAGACUGCAUUUUGUUGUUUUAAUCUUUUCAAUGCUACCUGUCCUGUGAGAAUGGGCAACUACAUUCCAUUUGUUAUGACUGCCGCUUGGACGUUUGGAAAAUGUUUUUAUAAUACUUGAUGUGCUCUCAAGUAUUGGUGUUGGUGUCCCAGGCCUCGAUACACUGGUGUUCCGGGGUGGCUAUGCGG